UGAAUGCACUAAGUGUAAGUCACUCUGGAUAAGAGUGUUUGCUAAAUGACUAAAA
rfam:Salmo salar isolate Sally breed double haploid chromosome ssa11, whole genome shotgun sequence.